GUUAGGAAUAUUGGACAAUGGGCGCAAGCCUGAUCCAGCCAUGCCGCGUGAACGAUGAAGGCCUUCGGGUUGUAAAGUUCUUUAGCCGAUGAUUAUAAUGACUGUAGUCGGAAAAUAAGCCCCGGCUAACUUCGUGCCAGCAGCCGCGGUAAUACGAAGGGGGCGAGCGUUAUUCGGAAUCACUGGGCGUAAAGCGUGCGUAGGCGGUCUCGUAAGUUAGGAGUGAAAGCCCAGGGCUCAACCUUGGAAUUGCUCUUAAAACUGCAAGGCUAGAAUCUCGGAGAGGAUAGCGGAAUUUCCAGUGUAGCAGUGAAAUGCGUAGAUAUUGGAAGGAACACCAGUGGCGUAAGCGGCUAUCUGGACGAGUAUUGACGCUGAGGCACGAAAGCGUGGGGAUCAAACAGGAUUAGAAACCCCUGGAGUCC
rnacentral:rRNA from 1 species